UUCCACCAGGGCUGUGCAAGGCAGGCGGGACAGUUCCUCUGGAAGUGACAUGAGCAGGUCAAGGACCACAGCUGACUCUGACAGGAGGAAAGGGAAGAACAAGAGGACAAGGAGCCAGCCUAGGGCAGCCCUCACCUCACCCUCCCGCCUCACCUCUACAGGGGCUGGGAGCUGUGCUUCUCGACGCCUUGGACCUCCUGGGUGCACCUUCCGAAUGGCCUCACGAACCACUCGACCUUUGAGCUGCUGGAUAAAUCGGCAGAUCUGGGAAGGAGGACAAGCCUUCUAUGAGCUCAGAAACACAGACAAGAUCUACUGCCUUGCUUGUUUCAGGGACCGCUACUGCUCCCUAUCCCGGCGCCCAAUGUUGCACAUUCCCGAAACUGCUGGGACUCAAGCCAAGGACCCAGUGUGUGACCAGCUCCCUAAUGAAAAUGUAAAUGAAAAUG